rnacentral:rRNA from 1 species
GGUCAAGCGAGUAAGCGCAUACGGUGGAUGCCUAGGCGGUAGGAGGCGAUGAAGGACGUGGUAGCCUGCGAUAAGCCUCGGGGAGUCGGCAAACAGACUUUGAUCCGGGGAUGUCCGAAUGGGGAAACCCACCUCUUCGGAGGUAUCUGCACCUGAAUCCAUAGGGUGCAGAAGCGAACCUGGGGAACUGAAACAUCUCAUUACCCAGAGGAAAAGAAAUCAACCGAGAUUCCGUCAGUAGCGGCGAGCGAAAGCGGAUCAGCCCUUAAGCGGUUAGCGUCUUAGUGGAACGCCCUGGAAAGAGCGGCCAUAGCGGGUGAUAGCCCCGUACACGAAAAGUCGCUUUCUGUGAAAUCGAGUAGGACGGGGCACGUGAAAUCCUGUCUGAACAUGGGGGGACCAUCCUCCAAGGCUAAAUACUACCUACCGACCGAUAGUGAACCAGUACCGUGAGGGAAAGGCGAAAAGAACCCCGGUGAGGGGAGUGAAAUAGAACCUGAAACCGUAUGCGUACAAGCAGUGGGAGCCCCUUCGGGGGUGACCGCGUACCUUUUGUAUAAUGGGUCAGCGACUUGCUUUUCAGUGGCGAGCCUAACCGUAUAGGGGAGGCGCAGGGAAACCGAGUCUUAAUAGGGCGUUCAGUCGCUGGGAGCAGACCCGAAACCGGGUGAUCUAGCCAUGGCCAGGGUGAAGGCGGGGUAAUUCCCGCUGGAGGCCCGAACCCACUUCCGUUGAAAAGGCAGGGGAUGAGCUGUGGCUAGGAGUGAAAGGCUAAUCAAACCCGGAGAUAGCUGGUUCUCCCCGAAAGCUAUUUAGGUAGCGCCUCAUGUAUCACUCCCGGGGGUAGAGCACUGUUACGACUAGGGGGUCAUCUCGACUUACCAAACCGUUGCAAACUCCGAAUACCGGGAAGUGCAAUCAUGGGAGACAGACGGCGGGUGCUAACGUUCGUCGUCAAAAGGGAAACAACCCAGACCGCCAGCUAAGGUCCUGGAAUCACGGCUUAGUGGAAAACGAUGUGGGAAGGCAUAGACAGCCAGGAGGUUGGCUUAGAAGCAGCCAUCCUUUAAAGAAAGCGUAAUAGCUCACUGGUCGAGUCGGCCUGCGCGGAAGAUGUAACGGGGCUCAAGCCGUGUACCGAAGCUGCGGAUGCCGAAAGGCGUGGUAGGGGAGCGUUCCGUAAGCCUGCGAAGGUGUCUCGUGAGAGAUGCUGGAGGUAUCGGAAGUGCGAAUGCUGACAUGAGUAACGAUAAUGCGGGUGAAAGACCCGCACGCCGAAAGCCCAAGGUUUCCUGCGCAACGUUAAUCGGCGCAGGGUGAGUCGGCUCCUAAGGCGAGGCCGAAAGGCGUAGUCGAUGGGAAACAGGUUAAUACUCCUGUACUCCGUGUCAUUGCGAUGGGGGGACGAAGGAGGCUAAGCCAUCCGGGUGUUGGACGUCCCGGUUCAAGCAUGUAGGCAGCUGCUCUAGGCAAAUCCGGAGUGGCAAUGCUGAGGUGUGAUGACGAGUCCCUUUAUUGGGACGAAGUGGCCCAUGCCAUGCUUCCAGGAAAAGCCUCUAAGCUUCAGAUGACAUGGAACCGUACCCCAAACCGACACAGGUGGGCGAGGUGAGAAUCCUAAGGCGCUUGAGAGAACUCGGGUGAAGGAACUAGGCAAAAUAGCACCGUAACUUCGGGAGAAGGUGUGCCUCCACUACGUGAAAGGACUUGCUCCUGGAGCGGAAGGAGGUUGCAGUGACCAGGUGGCUGCGACUGUUUAAUAAAAACACAGCACUCUGCAAACUCGUAAGAGGAAGUAUAGGGUGUGACGCCUGCCCGGUGCCGGAAGGUUAAUUGAUGGGGUCAGCCGCAAGGCGAAGCUCUUGAUCGAAGCCCCGGUAAACGGCGGCCGUAACUAUAACGGUCCUAAGGUAGCGAAAUUCCUUGUCGGGUAAGUUCCGACCUGCACGAAUGGCGUAACGAUGGCCACGCUGUCUCCACCCGGGACUCAGUGAAGUUGAAUUCGCUGUUAAGAUGCGGCGUUCCCGCGGCAAGACGGAAAGACCCCGUGAACCUUUACUAUAGCUUUACACGGGACUUUGAACAGGCUUGUGUAGGAUAGGUGGGAGGCUUUGAAGCGAGGACGCCAGUUCUCGUGGAGCCAACGUUGAAAUACCACCCUGGCGUGUUUGAGGUUCUAACCUAGGUCCGUUAUCCGGAUCGGGGACAGUGUAUGGUGGGUAGUUUGACUGGGGCGGUCUCCUCCCAAAGAGUAACGGAGGAGCACGAAGGUACCCUCAGCGCGGUCGGAAAUCGCGCAGUGAGUGUAAAGGCACAAGGGUGCUUGACUGCGAGACAUACUCGUCGAGCAGGUGCGAAAGCAGGUCUUAGUGAUCCGGUGGUUCUGUAUGGAAGGGCCAUCGCUCAACGGAUAAAAGGUACUCCGGGGAUAACAGGCUGAUACCGCCCAAGAGUUCACAUCGACGGCGGUGUUUGGCACCUCGAUGUCGGCUCAUCACAUCCUGGGGCUGCAGUCGGUCCCAAGGGUAUGGCUGUUCGCCAUUUAAAGUGGUACGCGAGCUGGGUUUAGAACGUCGUGAGACAGUUCGGUCCCUAUCUGCCGUGGGCGUUGGAGAUUUGAGAGGAGCUGCUCCUAGUACGAGAGGACCGGAGUGGACGUACCUCUGGUGUUCCGGUUGUCACGCCAGUGGCACAGCCGGGUAGCUAUGUACGGACGGGAUAACCGCUGAAAGCAUCUAAGCGGGAAGCCUCCCUCAAGAUGAGAUCUCCCUGGACCCUCGAGGUCCCUGAAGGGUCGUCGAAGACUACGACGUUGAUAGGCCGGGUGUGGAAGCGCAGUAAUGCGUGGAGCUUACCGGUACUAAUUGCCCGUGAGGCUUGACCAU